GGAGCGCCUACCUUAGAGCCAUUGCAUCCUGGCAAACCGGCAAGUCCAUAAGGUCCAGGAUGGCCUGGGGUGCCCUGGAAAGGAGACAUCGUUGCCUACCCCGGAACCAGGGAGGAAAGGAAAAGAAAAAGAGAAAAAGAAGAGGGAAGUGUGCACAGAGGAAAUAUAAUUUGGCUUGAUGUCCUACAAAUCCACACUCUAAAACACUCUGUGCUUCUAUCAUGUUGUUUUCAUCAGGUAGUGAAUGUGUCAGUAGCCAUUUCUUUGUGUUAUUGCUUUACAGCUUUAUUAAA